AACAUACCUGGCGAAGAUGUCAAAUUUGUUUCUCUCAACAACGGAAUCGCCCUGAACUGCACCACCACCUUUGCUUCUGCUGCACACUACCACAGCGAAACCACCGCUUCGAACACUCUCUUCUCUUUGAUAUUCUGUUAUAUAGUUGGUUAGGCACGGGAAGCGUGAGAGUGAGUGAGAGUGCGGUGAUGCCGAAUCCCGAGGGUGACCGCGGGCAGCAAAACCGGGCACGGGCACGGGCCUCCACGUCAGCGGGGGUUCGGGCGCGUGUGUCGCUGCGGCAGUUGCUGCGCGUGGCGUCGGUGGCCAGCGGGAUUCAGUUCGGUUGGGCUUUGCAGUUAUCUCUUCUGACGCCGUAUGUUCAGCAGCUGGGGAUUCCGCACCAAUGGGCCAGCAUCAUCUGGCUCUGCGGGCCGGUCUCGGGCCUCUUCGUGCAGCCCUUGGUGGGCCACAUGAGCGACCGCUGCACCAGCCGCUUCGGCCGCCGCAAACCCUUCAUCCUCGCCGGCGCGGUUGCGAUCGUUGUCGCGGUUGUCGUCAUCGGCUACGCCGCUGACAUCGGCUGGCUCCUCGGCGACACCGAGGACUACCGCCCCGCCGCCAUCGCCGUCUUUAUCAUCGGCUUUUGGAUCCUCGACGUCGCCAACAACGUCACGCAAGGUCCCUGUCGAGCCCUGCUCGGUGAUCUCACUAGCAAGGAUCCUCGGAGGACACGUGUUGCAAAUGCAUAUUACUCACUAUUUAUGGCCAUCGGUAACAUUCUUGGCUAUGCAACUGGAUCAUACAGUGGUUGGUACAAGAUUUUUACUUUUGCGCUUUCCCCAGCUUGCACAAUUAGUUGUGCGAAUCUCAAGUCUGCUUUCUUUCUUGACAUUGCUUUCAUUGCGGUCACAACAUAUAUCAGCAUCAUGGCAGCUCAUGAAGUGCCUCUAAAUUCAAGUGAGGCAGCCCAUGCUGAAGCAGGGGCAGGGGAGUCAGGUAGUGCAGAAGAAGCUUUCAUGUGGGAAUUAUUUGGGACAUUCAAAUAUUUUUCAACCCCUGUAUGGGUAAUUCUGUCUGUUACUGCUCUGACAUGGAUUGGAUGGUUCCCAUUUACUCUCUUUGAUACCGAUUGGAUGGGUCGAGAGAUUUAUGGUGGUGAUCCAAAUCAAGGCCUUGUUUAUGAUACUGGAGUUAGAAUGGGAGCACUUGGUUUGUUACUUAAUUCAGUUGUUCUUGCAUUAACAUCAUUGUUCAUGGAGAGGCUAUGCAGGAAGAGAGGGGCUGGUUUUGUGUGGGGAAUCUCCAAUAUUAUGAUGGCUGUUUGCUUUCUUGCAAUGCUAGUAGUAACCUAUGUGGCAAAUAGCAUGGGUUAUGUAGGCAAAGAUCUACCACCAGCUAGCAUUGUGAUUGCUGCGUUGGUUAUCUUUACCAUUCUUGGGUUUCCACUGGCUAUAACUUACAGUGUUCCAUAUGCCUUAAUUUCCACGCAUAUUGAGUCACUAGGACUUGGCCAAGGGUUAUCAAUGGGUGUCCUAAAUCUGGCAAUAGUGAUCCCACAGAUAAUAGUGUCCCUGGGAAGUGGACCGUGGGAUCAACUAUUUGGUGGAGGAAACUCCCCAGCCUUUGUUGUGGCAGCUGUUUCAGCCCUUAUCAGUGGACUCAUAGCUGUCUUGGCAAUUCCUCGAUCUCAAAAGGCUCGAAGCCGUGUAUGAGGUAUCAUGUUCUAUCUGCUUUUGGCACUUAUUUCUUUCGAAGGAGGAUGGUGAAAAUGAACAGUGAGGUUGGUUGGCUAUGUAUAUCAUGAGAGACAUCCACAAGCUGUAGGAAAAGGGUGAAUACACUUGUCAAAGGAACGAUGUAAAACACAAAAUUCAUAUAUCAUUUCUUUUCCAAACAUCUUGGAAUCUCGUGUAAAUAUGUAAUCAUAAAAGCUGUCACCAAAUACUGGCUGACAUUUUGUGCAAUCAGUUGAGACCUUCCUCAUUGUAAAUCAGUUAUUCCUAUGUAAGAUGUUUCUUUUGAGGCUAAUUGCAAAGUAGUUGGGGCAUCUUUCAUGGGUUCUAAAGUUAAUAUUGGGCAACAUUCUUUCCCACCAAGACGAGUUGCUGCUGAUCGGGAAUUAUUCCACAUGAAAAAUUCUUUUAUUAUUAGGCAAUUCAUGUUGUGCAUUAGUGCUGCUGUAAUCAAGUGUGUGAAUCUUAUACAUUUGUGUGACUUGUUUGUAUUAGUGGGAUGAAUGUGUUUAGUGGCCAACAGUGAAUAUGUGAUUUUCGCGAUGGAAACCUGAUGGAGACCUGGCUUUAUUGCUCCUUAUUUUGGUAUAAGUAUUUUUCUUUGAAAAAGAAGAGAAUUCUUGAA